rnacentral:rRNA from 1 species
GACGAACGCUGGCGGCGUGCUUAACACAUGCAAGUCGAACGGAAAGGCCCUGCUUUUGUGGGGUGCUCGAGUGGCGAACGGGUGAGUAACACGUGAGUAACCUGCCCUUGACUUUGGGAUAACUUCAGGAAACUGGGGCUAAUACCGGAUAGGAGCUCCUGCUGCAUGGUGGGGGUUGGAAAGUUUCGGCGGGUGGGGAUGGACUCGCGGCUUAUCAGCUUGUUGGUGGGGUAGUGGCUUACCAAGGCUUUGACGGGUAGCCGGCCUGAGAGGGUGACCGGCCACAUUGGGACUGAGAUACGGCCCAGACUCCUACGGGAGGCAGCAGUGGGGAAUAUUGCACAAUGGGCGGAAGCCUGAUGCAGCAACGCCGCGUGCGGGAUGACGGUCUUCGGGUUGUAAACCGCUUUCGCCUGUGACGAAGCGUGAGUGACGGUAAUGGGUAAAGAAGCACCGGCUAACUACGUG